GCAGGCCUAACACAUGCAAGUCGAGCGCGAAAGCACUUCGGUGUGAUUAAAGCGGCGGACGGGUGAGUAACGCGUAGGAAUCUACCUAGUAGUGGGGGACAACUCGGGGAAACUCGAGCUAAUACCGCAUACGCCCUACGGGGGAAAGCGGGGGACCUUCGGGCCUCGUGCUAUUAGAUGAGCCUGCGUUGGAUUAGCUAGUUGGUGGGGUAAUGGCCUACCAAGGCGACGACCCAUAGCUGGUCUGAGAGGAUGAUCAGCCACACCGGGACUGAGACACGGCCCGGACUCCUACGGGAGGCAGCAGUGGGGAAUAUUGCGCAAUGGGCGAAAGCCUGACGCAGCCAUGCCGCGUGUGUGAAGAAGGCCUUCGGGUUGUAAAGCACUUUCAAUUGGGAGGAAAGGCUCACGGCUAAUACCCGUGAGCUGUGACGUUACCUUUAGAAGAAGCACCGGCUAACUCCGUGCCAG
rnacentral:rRNA from 1 species